AACGAACGCUGGCGGCAUGCCUAACACAUGCAAGUCGAACGAGACCUUCGGGUCUAGUGGCGCACGGGUGCGUAACGCGUGGGAACCUGCCCUUAGGUUCGGAAUAACUCCCCGAAAGGGGUGCUAAUACCGGAUAAUGUCUUCGGACCAAAGAUUUAUCGCCUUUGGAUGGGCCCGCGUUGGAUUAGCUAGUUGGUAGGGUAAAAGCCUACCAAGGCGACGAUCCAUAGCUGGUCUGAGAGGAUGAUCAGCCACACUGGGACUGAGACACGGCCCAGACUCCUACGGGAGGCAGCAGUGGGGAAUAUUGGACAAUGGGCGAAAGCCUGAUCCAGCAAUGCCGCGUGAGUGAUGAAGGCCUUAGGGUUGUAAAGCUCUCUUACCCGGGAUGAUAAUGACAGUACCGGGAGAAUAAGCUCCGGCGAACUCCGU
rnacentral:rRNA from 1 species